GAUGAAGAACGCAGCGAAAUGCGAUAAGUAAUGUGAAUUGCAGAAUUCAGUGAAUCAUCGAAUCUUUGAACGCACAUUGCGCCCGUCAGUAUUCUGGCGGGCAUGCCUGUUCGAGCGUCAUUACGCCCCUCAAGUCCCCUGUGGACUUGGUGUUGGGGAUCGGCGAGGCCGGUUUUCCAGCACAGCCGUCCCUUAAAUUAAUUGGCGGUCUCGCCGUGGCCCUCCUCUGCGCAGUAGUAAAACACUCGCAACAGGAGCCCGGCGCGGUCCACUGCCGUAAAACCCCCCAACUUUUUAUAGUUGACCUCGAAUCAGGUAGGACUACCCGCUGAACUUAAGCAUAUCAAUAAGCGGAGGA
rnacentral:misc_RNA from 1 species